rnacentral:rRNA from 2 species
CCCGUCAGGACGAACGCUGGCGGCGUGCUAAUACAUGCAAGUCGAGCGGACAGAAGGGAGCUUGCUCCCGGAUGUAAGCGGCGGACGGGUGAGUAACACGUGGGUAACCUGCCUGUAAGACUGGGAUAACUCCGGGAAACCGGAGCUAAUACCGGAUAGUUCCUUGAACCGCAUGGUUCAAGGAUGAAAGACGGUUUCGGCUGUCACUUACAGAUGGACCCGCGGCGCCAUUAAGCUAGUUGGUGAGGUAACGGCUCACCAAGGCGGACGAUGCGUAAGCCGACCUGAGAGGGUGAUCGGCCCCACUGGGACUGAGACACGGCCCAGACUCCCUACGGGAGGCAGCAGUAGGGAAUCUUCCGCAAUGGACGAAAGUCUGACGGAGCAACGCCGCGUGAGUGAUGAAGGUUUUCGGAUCGUAAAGCUCUGUUGUUAGGGAAGAACAAGUGCAAGAGUAACUGCUUGCA